rnacentral:rRNA from 1 species
ACUCCUACGGGAGGCAGCAGUGGGGAAUAUUGCACAAUGGGGGAAACCCUGAUGCAGCCAUGCCGCGUGUGUGAAGAAGGCCUUGGGUUGUAAAGCACUUUCAGUAGGGAGGAAGGUAGUGUAGUUAACACCUGCAUUAUUUGACGUUACCUACAGAAGAAGCACCGGCUAACUCCGUGCCAGCAGCCGCGGUAAUACGGAGGGUGCGAGCGUUAAUCGGAAUUACGUGGGCGUAAAGCGCAUGCAGGCGGCCUGUUAAGUCAGAUGUGAAAGCCCGGGGCUUAACCUCGGAAUUGCAUUUGAAACUGGCAGGCUAGAGUCUUGUAGAGGGGUUAGAAUUUCAGGUGUAGCGGUGAAAUGCGUAGAGAUCUGAAGGAAUACCAGUGGCGAAGGCGGCCCCCGUGGACAAAGACUGACGCUCAGAUGCGAAAGCGUGGGAGCAAACAGGAUUAGAUACCCCGUGGUAGACUGUCA